rnacentral:sRNA from 1 species
UUUUUUUUAAAUAAUAAUUUUAAUAAAAUUCGAUCCAAAUGGGCUUGGGCUUAAAGUCUACAACGCAAGUGACCCAGUUACAAAAAGGGAAAUCGGAAAAAAGUUCACCGGAAAAGAAAAGCGGCUCGACUCUUGUUGAUCACCGUUCGCAGAGUGACCAAAUCUUAGAUCUGGCAAAAUCAAGACUCACAACUUUGCGACCCCAUCAGAAGAUUGAAACAACCGGUGAAAGAUUUCAGUUUCCGACCAACCAUCUCUUUCUCCCGAUGCACCAACCCGCCACAAGUCUCCCAGAAAAUUAGUCACCCCGACGAAGCGGUUCGACGGUGAGAAAUCCCGACCUAGCAACCCCUCACACUUAUAGAUAUCCUCGCUCUCCUUUACCGGAAACCCCUGAAAUUCCAGAACCGCCGUGACUCGAUCCGGACAGUCGGCUCACUCGAGACGGCAAAUCUAGAAGCUGGUGGCUCACUCAUAACUACUAAAUCCGACCCCCGUCUCAGCCAUUGAAGACCUAGAUCUUCCGCUACCCACCUGUCAAAUCAACACCAAACCCACCUUAUCCCCUUCAACUUCCGCCGUAGAUGCAGCUACCAGGUCGACGACUGAGCCUAAGGAGAAUCAAAGCAACUCCCAACGUCCACAACCGGGAGACCACCGCUUCAAUGCUCCUCCUCCGCCAAUCUAGGGCCACAACCACAUUAGCGGGGAAACACCACACCCUUGUUGACGGAGAGGCACGACGACUCACUCCUGGAUCACUUGCGAGAAGACUUUGUCGACGUUAAGAGCAGAACGGAACAGAAAAUUCUAGAUCUAAAAACCAGAAAUCGCCUACAAGCGAGAGAGAAAUACACGGUUUACGAGGCAACAAUUGGGCCCGAUUUUCUCAGUUUGCUAGGUAAUUAAUUAUAUGAAGUUGUGAUUGAUUUCGUCUCUGAUAAGUAAGUUGAUAAAAUUUUGGCUUAACGUUAUCGCUUGUUGCAUGAUGUUAGUAUGGAAGUUAGUAGUGAUGAUUUUUUUGACGAAAAAAUUACUAUGUAAUAUGUAAUGAUAAAUAUGUAAUGUGUUAUUAAAUUUAAAGUGUUAAUAAGGCCAUUACAUU